UACGUAGGUGGCAAGCGUUGUCCGGAUUUAUUGGGUUUAAAGGGUGCGUAGGUGGUCUAUUAAGUCAGUGCUGAAAUAUCCCGGCUUAACCGAGAGGGUGGCAUUGAUACUGAUGGACUUGAGUGGAGUUGAGGUAGGCGGAAUUGACGGUGUAGCGGUGAAAUGCUUAGAUAUCGUCAAGAACACCAAUAGCGAAGGCAGCUUACUAAGCUCUAACUGACACUGAUGCACGAAAGUGUGGGGAUCAAACAGG
rnacentral:rRNA from 1 species